CUACCAAAAGUUUUAUUUUGGGUGAAGGUUUUUUAGUAACCUUUACCAAUUAGGCUCUUUGGGAGAAUAAAGACCACACUCCACAGUGGGCUAUAUCACUAACAUAUAGCCCAUUACUAUUUUGUGGCCUACAUU